CUCAGAGCGGCCUGCUGGCCCCGCCUGCCCUGGGCAGUGAAGGGCUUAGCACCUGGUCCAGCAGCUGCUGUGCUCGAGUUCUCGCGGGGCCUUAGCUGCCUCCCCGCGGGGCAGGGCUUGGGACCUGCAGCCCGCCAUGCCUGAGCUUCCCCCCGCCCCCGCCGUGGGCUCCUGUGCGGCCCGAGCCUCCCCGACGAGCGCCGCCCCCUGCUCCACGAUGCCCAGUCCCAUCGACCACCCAAGGGCUGAGGAGUGCGGGCUCACGGUUACAGGAUUCCCAUUUCAGAACUACGACCAUUUGAAAAAUAGAAGAUUUAAAGAUUGACGCAAAGUGCAUGUACCAUGAUACACCAGGUCUCAUCUCCUGAAUAUUUGUCCUGCCCUGAGUUUUCACCUGAGGCCACCUGUACAACUGACUAGAGUAGUUCCACUGAUUGCUAAAAUGGAACAGGCAGGAUUGGUAUUGACUGUCCAAGAGCAAAGUCAGAUACAGAAUUCCCACCUUUGAGUUGUUCCUGUGUUGCAAUAUUAUCAUAAGGCUCAAGCUACCAGAGACACCCACUGUCACACUGGAGCCUGCUUCUGACCAAAACAUCCUCUGUCAAGCUAUAGACUGCUUCUGACCUCAGGUUUGCCAUUCUGAGCACAUAACAAAAAUAAAACAAGAAAAAGCAUAAGGUAUGAAAUGUUAUUCAAAAAAAGAAUGAUGAAACAAUGAACUAAAGCCUGGGCAGUAAAUAAUUCUGUCUUCAAGAUCCCACAUGGAAAAUUUUUUAGAAAGACUUCCUACCUUUCCUACUGUUUGUAAUGUGCAUCUGGAAUACUAGAGAAAGGGUCCCUAAGGUUUGCUGGAAAAAUACCUUAGCUUCUGAGUCUUAGCUUUAUUACUAAUAAACACUGGAUUUCUGGUAGUAGAGAAGGAAAUUUAGUAUUUCAUGAUGGUGAAAGAUGAAAAGAGAGGCUUUAUGGCUGUAUGAUUUGGGUAGAGCUUUUCAGUUAAUUAACGAAGAAAUAUCUGAAUUGAGUCAAUGAGGUACAGAGUUUAUUUCAUACAGAUACUUUUAAACUUCAUAAUGCCAUGACAUACCUGAUUUGUUACUAAUGUCCACAACUUAUCCACGUGUUUAUGGCAAAAAAAAAGUGCACGAAGAAGAAAAUUAUAGUUUCAAAAAUUUCUAGAAUUUGGUUUCUGGAAGAAAAUACAAGUGUCUGUGUGUUUGUGUACAUAUAUUCUAGAUAGAUGAGCCAGUAAGAUAGAGUGAGCAUUAUUUUUUCUUAUCCAAAGAAAAAUAAAAGCAAUGCACAGGUAGAAGACCUGGUAAAUUUUGUAUCAUCAUAACCACCUAAAAGUUUCGUGUGGGAAGGUAAGUCAUAACUCCAAAUAUUUUUUUCUACUUAAAAAUUAAAAUUUGUACAAGAAUAUUUGAUCCAGAAGAAAGAAAUAUAUACAUAAGGAAUUACUAGAAUUUGAAUGCAGAGCAUUUCAAACUAUCUUUAAUCCAAUGAUAUAGUUCUUAUAAAUUAAAAGUCAACAUGGCAAAUUACAAAUGUAAUAUUUAAGUGUGUCCUCAAGAAACUUAAAUAUAAAUAUUGCAAUAAUUUCUGUUAAAUUUAGUUUUAAUUCUCUUUAGUAAUGUAAAAUUCAUACCUUUAUUUUCAAAUAUAACCAUUGAGAUAAGAUCCAUUUGUCCUGGUGGAAAGUAGAAACAAAAGUGCUUUGCCUGGCAGCAAAAGAUACAAAACUUUAUCUGCCAAAACAUUCUGAGCUAAUGCAGAACAAAGGUUUGCUGCUGGGGAGUAGGGGUUGCUGAGAAAGCCUAGUUUUAAAUCCCAGGUGCAGAGUUUUAGUGGUCCAAACAGUAGAAUUGGAUCCCCACCACCACCACUCAGCAGCCUAACCCAGAGAAAGAAGCAAGAGAAGCUUGCUGCUGGGGAAGGAUCAAGAGUAAAGAUAAGAUCCCUACUUUUGCACCAAGUGUCCAGGGACUGAACAAAAUUAGGGACAAAGCAGGAACUCAGAAGAAAGAUCUAAGCAUCACUCUAAGCCCAAGGCAAGAGCAGCCCAUCUUUAAUUAAAACCACACUGGGGGCUGGGCGCAGUGGCUCAUGCCUGUAAUCCCAGCACUUUGGGAGGCCGAGGCAGGUGGAUCACAAGGUCAGGAGAUGGAGACCAUCCUGGCUAACACGGUGAAACCCUGUCUCUAAUAAAAAAUACAAAAAAAAUUAGCCAGGCGUGGUGGUGGGCACCUGUAGUCCCAGCUACUCAGGAGGCUGAUGCAGGAGAAUGGUGUGAACCCGGGAGGCGGAGCUUUGCAGUGAGCCAAGAUCACACCACUGCACUCCAGCCUGGGUGACAGAGCGAGACUCGGUCACAAAGAAAAACAAAACAAAACAAAAAACAAAAACAAAAAAAGAAAACACUGGGAAUUUGAUGUCUGUGGAGCACUGAAAAUGAUAAAAACAAAACACAAACCUAGUUCAACUCAUGACAAGACAGAAUUCCUUACGCUGACUGCUUGACAGAUGAAAAUGUGUGCCCAUUUCUCUGUGUAAUUUUCAUUUACCUUGGUUCCUAGCAUUCUUCUACAAAUAGUUUCUGGCUUUCAACCAAACAUGAGAUACACAAAGAGCCAAGAAGAAAACAACCUGUUUUCAAUAGAUAAAGCAAACAACAUAACUAGACCUAAAGAUGUGUCUGUGAGUCGGGACUAGGAUUAAUACAUACAUUUAAUACAUGUAAUAUUUAUUUAUUUCAUUGUAUGCAAUUUUUACAUAAAAACUAUAGUCUAUAGUCGUGUUGCAGAUUCAAGUUAAUAAUAUGCAAAGUAUUCAAGGGGAAAUGUAUUGAUAUCUUCAAUAUACAUUGAAAUUUAUUCAAAAAGGAAAUGUGUUAAUGGACGAAAGAUCAAUAAAUUAAAAGUGUCUGACAAAACAAUAUAAUAAAAUCUUAAUUAUAGAAC
rnacentral:lncRNA from 1 species